rnacentral:rRNA from 1 species
ACGAACGCUGGCGGCAUGCCUAACCCAUGCAAGUCGAACGAGACCUUCGGGUCUAGUGGCGCACGGGUGCGUAACGCGUGGGAACCUGCCCUUAGGUUCGGAAUAACUCCCCGAAAGGGGUGCUAAUACCGGAUAAUGUCUUCGGACCAAAGAUUUAUCGCCUUUGGAUGGGCCCGCGUUGGAUUAGCUAGUUGGUAGGGUAAAAGCCUACCAAGGCGACGAUCCAUAGCUGGUCUGAGAGGAUGAUCAGCCACACUGGGACUGAGACACGGCCCAGACCCCUACGGGAGGCAGCAGUGGGGAAUAUUGGACAAUGGGCGAAAGCCUGAUCCAGCAAUGCCGCGUGAGUGAUGAAGGCCUUAGGGUUGUAAAGCUCUUUUACCCGGGAUGAUAAUGACAGUACCGGGAGAAUAAGCGCCGGCUAACUCCGUG